CCCAUGGACUGAAGCCCACCAGGCUCCUCUGUCCAUGCAAGAAUACAGGAGUGGGCUGCCAUUUCCUCCUCCAGGGGAUCUUCCCGACCCAGGGAUCGAACCCGUGUGUCUCAUAUCUCCUGCACUGGCAGGGUGGACCCAUGGGGCCUGCAGUCACUCUGGCCGACCCUUCGACCCUCAAGAACCUCCAUCAGCGCCAGGGAGCCUGGGCUCGGAACCGCCUCUGCCCCAGCAGCGCCCUCUUUGUGCCCUUCCCUCCCCUUCCUGCGCCCCAAUUUCCAGAGGGUCUAAACACACUGACCCCCAAAGAGAAGCCCUGCAGAGCAGAGACCUCACCCUGAGAAGCCUGCACCCCCUGGACAUCUUGACUCCAUCCUUCAGCAUCCUCUCCCUCACUGUAUCCUGACUGCUUGGACCACCCUCCUCUCCAGCCCCCACUGAACAACAGAUUGGGAAGGGGAAUUUCACAAGGUUUGAGCCCGCAGAGCUGUUAGGGAGCUCUUGAUCUUGGCAGAGACGCUGCCGAGCCACCUGCCCCACCUGGCAGCCCAACCACUUCUCCAGAAAGAACCCUUUGCUCGGUCCACCCACCAGGAAAUCUGCAGAUUAACACCAUCCUCCUUGCAAGAGUUCACCUUCCCAGUGGAUCCCCCUAGUGUGAGUGCCUGGUGGGAGAGGUGGGUAGCCUUCAAAGCGACCCACGGAGCUCAAGGGCAAUGGGGACUGGGGCCUCAGGUGGGUUUCUAGUGAAGGUGAUGAAGGGGAAGCUCAGGGACCCUCAGCUGCACAGGCCUUUCCAAGACCCUCAGAGGAGUCUGCC
ensembl:lncRNA